UACGAAGGGGGCUAGCGUUGCUCGGAAUCACUGGGCGUAAAGCGCACGUAGGCGGCUUGUUAAGUCAGGGGUGAAAUCCUGGAGCUCAACUCCAGAACUGCCUUUGAUACUGGCGAGCUUGAGUUCGGGAGAGGUGAGUGGAACUGCGAGUGUAGAGGUGAAAUUCGUAGAUAUUCGCAAGAACACCAGUGGCGAAGGCGGCUCACUGGCCCGAUACUGACGCUGAGGAGCGAAAGCAUGGGGAGCGAACAGG
rnacentral:rRNA from 1 species